ensembl:lncRNA
AUCUUUCUCUGGAGAUUGCUCCUCUUGGUGUCUUUUUGAGUAGAUGGAUGUACAGAACUUUGAAAGUCAAGAAGAACAGAGCAAAGCACCCACCUGCCCAGCCUCCCACCAGUAAUCCUUGCUGAUGCAACUGGGAAUCAAAAAGGUGGAGAGGAUUUCUGCUCACCGUCAGCUUUCUGCAGUCUUACAGUUGGCUGAUGGACUUCAGAAGAGAGCGUGGCUAGCAGAGUCUGUGAAGGAAUAUUAUUGCUUCAUUUAAAUGAAUAUAACCCAAAGAACAAAUUUAGAGGAAAUGUGUGCAUUUUGAUGGAUGUGCAAGCCAGCUCCACAGGGGACAUUUAAAACAAAGUUGUUAAUCACCUUUUGUUGCCAGUUGAUUGGGAAAUGGCUGUAAAUAUUUGAUGAUAGUGCAGUAGAAUAUCUGCCAAGUGCUGGUUGGUGAGACUUGGGUGCUCAGUUCUUCUUUAAAGUGAGUCCUUUGCACGUGAAGGAAAACAAAAGUUCAUUCAAAAUUUUCAUCAGAAGGAUGAAAAUUAAGCAUCUUGGUCAUGAGCUUUAGUUUUCCUCACAACAUUCUUGCUUUUUCUCUGACAAGGUGAGGUGUGAUGGCUACAACUCCUUUGCCACCUGUGGAGAUUAUGCCUUCUUGCGUCAGAAGCUUACUGUGAGCCUGAUGGAGCUUUGCAUAAGUAACAGCGAGUGUUUUGGAGUAGAUUCUGACAAAAAGCCAUACAACUAUUUACAGAAAUAAUUGGAGUCUUUCUAUUUUGUACAAGCAUCAUUCCUGUUCAGUAGUGGAGGAAGAGUUCCUUUAUUUACUGUAUGGACGGCUCCGUGACAAUACAACAGUGAAGGAGGAUGUAUAGUAGAUUAAAAAAUCCCAUAAAGUCCUUUCUGCUAAUUGAAAAGUGAUCCACAGUGACUGUAGGAUUAAGAAGGUGUGUAUAGCUUUGUCCAAGCAAGUAGUGAAGACAAUGGCUUGGUAACAAGGUAGCUAAAGCUUUUGCAAGGUUAUUUCAUAGACUGUAGAGCAGCUGUUUGGUUUUUUUCCUCUCCACUUUUUCCGUGUUUUUUUUUUUCCUACAUGCUGUUUGUAUAAUGUUCCCAGUAUUUAUAAAGAAAAAGUCAUCAAUAAAGGUCUUCCAAGAACUAACAUCACGUCACUUACAACACACUCAGAGCAACAGAACAUCACAGUACAGGCAAAACAUCUUGCAGGAAAAAAAAAACCCUUUCCUUGAAAAACCUUUCCUUGAAUAGUUUUACUUACUCUUCUCUGCAUGUCUUCUUCCAUGAUCAGCUUAGCUGUACUCCACAAAGCCAUUCCAGUGGAAGAGCAGCUUCACUCCGCCAAGCCCAGCAAAAGAGAGGAUACAAAUGAUGUCUUAUUGAUUGUGGACUCUCUGACAUUGUGAUACUGAAAGAUGGUCAAGGUUUUGUCUCCAGUACUGUAAUUUACAACACAAUUUUUGUGGCCAUGUUUUGUAUGAUGACCAAGCAGUUCUCUUGUUUUCUGGGUGAUGGGUUAGAUUUCCCUCUGUCCAUCCAUGAUCAUUCCAAAUCAGUGAUGUACGCAGUUCAGCACGACUUAAUCAACUUUUAAUUAAU